rnacentral:rRNA from 1 species
UGCAGUCGAACGGUGAAGCAGAGCUUGCUCUGUGGAUCAGUGGCGAACGGGUGAGUAACACGUGAGCAACCUGCCCCUGACUCUGGGAUAAGCGCUGGAAACGGCGUCUAAUACUGGAUAUGUGACGUGACCGCAUGGUCUGCGUCUGGAAAGAAUUUCGGUUGGGGAUGGGCUCGCGGCCUAUCAGCUUGUUGGUGAGGUAAUGGCUCACCAAGGCGUCGACGGGUAGCCGGCCUGAGAGGGUGACCGGCCACACUGGGACUGAGACACGGCCCAGACUCCUACGGGAGGCAGCAGUGGGGAAUAUUGCACAAUGGGCGAAAGCCUGAUGCAGCAACGCCGCGUGAGGGAUGACGGCCUUCGGGUUGUAAACCUCUUUUAGCAGGGAAGAAGCGAAAGUGACGGUACCUGCAGAAAAAGCGCCGGCUAACUACGUGCCAGCAGCCGCGGUAAUACGUAGGGCGCAAGCGUUAUCCGGAAUUAUUGGGCGUAAAGAGCUCGUAGGCGGUUUGUCGCGUCUGCUGUGAAAUCCGGAGGCUCAACCUCCGGCCUGCAGUGGGUACGGGCAGACUAGAGUGCGGUAGGGGAGAUUGGAAUUCCUGGUGUAGCGGUGGAAUGCGCAGAUAUCAGGAGGAACACCGAUGGCGAAGGCAGAUCUCUGGGCCGUAACUGACGCUGAGGAGCGAAAGGGUGGGGAGCAAACAGGCUUAGAUACCCUGGUAGUCCACCCCGUAAACGUUGGGAACUAGUUGUGGGGUCCAUUCCACGGAUUCCGUGACGCAGCUAACGCAUUAAGUUCCCCGCCUGGGGAGUACGGCCGCAAGGCUAAAACUCAAAGGAAUUGACGGGGACCCGCACAAGCGGCGGAGCAUGCGGAUUAAUUCGAUGCAACGCGAAGAACCUUACCAAGGCUUGACAUAUACGAGAACGGGCCAGAAAUGGUCAACUCUUUGGACACUCGUAAACAGGUGGUGCAUGGUUGUCGUCAGCUCGUGUCGUGAGAUGUUGGGUUAAGUCCCGCAACGAGCGCAACCCUCGUUCUAUGUUGCCAGCACGUAAUGGUGGGAACUCAUGGGAUACUGCCGGGGUCAACUCGGAGGAAGGUGGGGAUGACGUCAAAUCAUCAUGCCCCUUAUGUCUUGGGCUUCACGCAUGCUACAAUGGCCGGUACAAAGGGCUGCAAUACCGCGAGGUGGAGCGAAUCCCAAAAAGCCGGUCCCAGUUCGGAUUGAGGUCUGCAACUCGACCUCAUGAAGUCGGAGUCGCUAGUAAUCGCAGAUCAGC